CACUCAUCCAGAGCAGCAGAGGGAUUGGCCCAAGGAAGCUGCAGCAACCAUUCCGAUGGAACCGGUGCUAAUUCCAACAGCGCAAGCUGGCAGAUGAGAG
rfam:Dialister sp. CAG:486 genomic scaffold, scf671